AUGACCUGUAUUGUUGUUUUGCAACAUGCUUUCGAUAUUUGACACACAAUCUGUAGGUAAAAGAAACAGAAAGUUGGUCUUGAAGAGACAGAAGAAAUGAAAUUCUUGUUGGUGCGACCGCAUUUUUGCCUAUUCAUUUGUUAUAUAUAUAGUAAGAAUGUUCGUCUUUAAUUUCUUAACAACUUUUGCUUCAUUUUCUUAACACAUAUAUUUUAGUAUCAAUUUAUGAUUGUAAAGAUAUUGUACUUUACUGUUGUGUACUAGUGUUUACUAAUCUCAUUACUAUUUGAUUGCUAUUUAACUAUAUUAUUACUUUAUAUAACUCUGUUCCUUUUCAGCAUUGUGAAAUUAAUAUUGAGUUGUUUGUUGGUAAUAUGUUGAGCACAGUUUUGCUUCUGUGUUUCUGUUGUUGUUUUUUGUGUUUCCUUUCCUUGCAGUCAAAAAAAGCUUAAGCUAGCAAAGUACAGUAAGUAAACGGUUUAGUUCUUUGAUAUAAAAUGACCUGUAUUGUUGUUUGCAACAUGCUUUCUAUAUCUGACACACCAUCUGUAGGUAAAAGAAACAGAUAGUUGGAAUUGAAAGGACAGAAGCAACAAAAUUGUGGCUUGUACAACCGCAUUUUUGCCUAUUCAUUUGCUAUAUACAUAGUAAGAAUGUUCGUCUUUAUUUUCUUAAAACCUUUUGCUUUAUUUUCUUAACACAUAUAUUUUAGUAUCAAUUUACGAUCGUAAAAUGUAUUGUAAAUGACUGUUGCGUGCUAGUGUUUAUUCAUCUCUUUACUAUUUUAUUGCUAGUGAACUAUAUUAUUACUUUAUAAAAUUGUGUUCCCUUUCAGCAUUGUGAAAUUAUUAUUGAGUUGUUUGUUGGUAAUAUGUUGAGCACAGUUUUGCUUCUGUGUUUCUGUUGUUGUUUUUCUGUUUGCCUUCCUUGCAGUGAAAAAAAGCUUAAGCUAGCAAAGUACAGUAAGUAAGCAGUUUAUUCUUUGUUAUAAAAUGACCUGUAUUGUUGUUUGCAACAUGCUUUCUAUAUUUGACACACCAUCUGUAGGUAAAAGAAACAGAUAGUUGGAAUUGAAAGGACAGAAGCAACAAAAUUGUGGCUUGUACAACCGCAUUUUUGCCUAUUCAUUUGCUAUAUACAUAGUAAGAAUGUUCGUCUUUAUUUUCUUAAAACCUUUUGCUUUAUGUUCUUAACACAUAUAUUUUAGUAUCAAUUUAUGAUCGUAAAAUGUAUUGUAAAUGACGGUUGCAUGCUAGUGUUUAUCCAUCUCUUUACUAUUUGAUUGCUAGUUAACUAUAUUAUUACUUUAUAAAAUUGUGUUCCCUUUCAGCAUUGUGGAAUUAUUAUUGAGUUGUUUGUUGGUUAGUUGUUGAGCACAGUUUUGUAUGUAUGUUUCUCUUGUUGUUUUUUUUAUUUGGUUUCCUUGCAGUGCAAAAAGCUUAAGCUAGCAAAGUACAGUAAGUAAGCAGUUUAUUCUUUGUUAUAAAAUGACCUGUAUUGUUGUUUGCAACAUGCUUUCUAUAUUUGACACACCAUCUGUAGGUAAAAGAAACAGAUAGUUGGAAUUGAAAGGACAGAAGCAACAAAAUUAUGGCUUGUACAACCGCAUUUUUGCCUAUUCAUUUGCUAUAUACAUAGUAAGAAUGUUCGUCUUUAUUUUCUUAAAACCUUUUGCCUUAUUUUCUUAACACAUAUA